rnacentral:misc_RNA from 1 species
AACGCAUAUUGCGCUCUCUGGUAUUCCGGAGAGCAUGCUUGUUUGAGUAUCAGUAAACACCUCAACUUCCAUAUCUUUUUUGAAAUGGGAGUUGGACUUGAGUGAUCCCAACGCUUUUCCUUACCGAAAAGUGGCGGGUUACUUGAAAUGCAGGUGCAGCUGGACUUUUAUCUGAGCUAAAAGCAUAUCUAUUUAGUCCUCGUCAAACAGGAUUAUUACUUUUGCUGCAGCUAACAUAAAGGAUAAUCGUCCUCUUUGCUGACUGAUGCAGGAUUUUACGACACUUUAUGUGUUGUUCAACUCGAUCUCAAAUCAAGUAAGACUACCCGCUGAACUUAA